GACGGUCACAUUACGUUGAGACAACGCUUCCCGUACGAUCACCGAAGUUAAAGAACGUCGGGCUUGGUUAGUACAGAGAUGGGCGAUCACUUAGGAAGAACAGUUACUGUA